GCUGACUGCCCUGGAAGCGCAGAGCUGCAGCAGGAGAUCUUCUGCAUUAAAGUACCAAUCCAGUCACACAUUACAAAAGCUAUUGAAGAAAGGGGACUAUGAAGCCUAGCAACAAUAACACAUGCCUGUGUUGCAGAAGGAUAAGCUACAUGUUCCCUAGACUGACUUCUUAAGAGACAGGGAGGACAAGUAGCAGUCCAUCAUCUAACUCCCAACAGCCUGCUUGCCAAAUCCUGAUUAUGACCUACUCAUCAUUAUGGUAAAUGACCCACCUUGUGAUUAUUGCAAUGUGAAAGGUAUUUGAAAAGUUAAUUAAUAAGCAUGUUAUUAAUACAUACCUAUAUACUAGGAAAGCUAAAGUAGCAUGGCUCCCCUGAGUUGCUUCUUGGGUAUACAUGAAUGAACGUUUUAUUGUUGCACUGUUAAUCUAUAUAAUUUAGUAACAUUAAGAUUGUAUGAAACCACCAAAAUACUUGUCUUUUUCUAUGGAGAGAUAAGACGUUAGAU